UAUUAUGGAGUAUAGAGUAUUGGUUUAGGUUGGUUGUCUAUGUUUCUCUUCAUUAACCCACUUUCUCUUUCUUUAAAUGAUUUUUUUUGUCUAUUCUUUAAAAAGGAAAAACGAUAUAUUCAAGGCCCAACGUGCCAAGUGUUAUACGAUCUAUUUUUCAAAGCAUAUAAUAAUUUUUCGCUGUUUCUAAGGGGUCCUUUACUUCUUUUUGCCCCGGGCCCCCAAAAUAUCAGGAAAGGCCCUGCCACCACUUAGCUAGGCAGAUCAAGCUUUAUAUGCUUGAAUUGUUCCCUUGACCCUUCUAACUUCAGUAUUGCUAAAAUUCUACUUUGUAAUACAUACUUGAAUUAACAAAUAGAGCUAUUAUAGACGAUUAAUAAAUGUGUUAAUGCGAAAUUAAAGGGUUGAACUUGUAAGCAAUUAAAGGGGAAACAUUCACUUAUAAUAGAAUACUUAUGUGAUAGGUUACUGAAUUAAGUUAUGUUAGUUUCUAUAAAUGAUUGUAAAAUAAGAUUGCAAUUUUCAUAGUUCAUAUCAUACACUUAUAAUCAUAAAGAAUACAUUUAUCUACAGUUUUCUUCGUUAAAUAAUCUGUUUAACUACUUUACCAUCAGAGUUUAAGCAAAUGGCGAGAAUUUCCACCACAUUCUUCAUCAUUAGCGUCAUAUUGAUAGUUUUUCUAACCACAUGUAGUCUAACAUUGGCCCAAUACAUUGGAGAUAAUACUGGGAUUUUAUGUACGUCGGUUGGUGGAACUUGUGGAAUCCCAGGAGUUUAUGAUUGUUGUGACAGAAUGAUCUGCUUCUUGUUGAAUCCCGAAAACCCUUAUGCCGGUGGAGUUUGUAGGUAUUAAUCUCAUCGAGGGCAUGCCAUUGGUUCUGGAUUACGAGAUUACCAAGCUUCUCGAUCAUUUUCUUCGACUAUAGCUAGCACUUCUUAAUUUCACAAAUAACGUCGAAUUUGCAACUUUUCGAUAGUUGAUAUGUAAGAUCGAGUAUAUGUAGUUUGAAUGUUUGAUGUAUGCCUAAGAUUUAAUAUAAAUUUAGUAUUUGGGAUCCCUUUGAGGUUGA